UGAGGUGACAAAGCAAAGAAAGGAGAAGGC
rnacentral:piRNA from 1 species